rnacentral:rRNA from 1 species
ACGCUCGACACCUACGGGAGGCAGCAGUGGGGAAUAUUGCACAAUGGGGGAAACCCUGAUGCAGCGACGCCGCGUGAAGGAAGAAGUAUCUCGGUAUGUAAACUUCUAUCAGCAGGGAAGAAAAUGACGGUACCUGACUAAGAACGCCCCGGCUAACUACGUGUCAGCAGCCGGCGGUAAUCUGAGCGGGCUGGCAAGGC